UACAGAGGGUGCGAGCGUUAAUCGGAAUUACUGGGCGUAAAGCGUGCGCAGGCGGUUAUGUAAGACAGUUGUGAAAUCCCCGGGCUCAACCUGGGAACUGCAUCUGUGACUGCAUAGCUAGAGUACGGUAGAGGGGGAUGGAAUUCCGCGUGUAGCAGUGAAAUGCGUAGAUAUGCGGAGGAACACCGAUGGCGAAGGCAAUCCCCUGGACCUGUACUGACGCUCAUGCACGAAAGCGUGGGGAGCAAACAGG
rnacentral:rRNA from 1 species